UGUCUUGCCUUUCAACUAUUUUGGUGAAGGCUUCUAGAUGAACUGGUGGUGGUGCAAAUAGGUCUUGUGCUGGGGGAGGUCUUUUCUGCAGUUUUAUCAUGCUUACUGGCUGCUGAAGUUCUGUCGAAGGGAGUGGAAGGAGGGUUCUAUGUAAGCUAUUGUUCGUUGUUAUGCUUCCUGGCCUUUCAUCUACUGUGGUGAAGGCUUCCAGAUGAACUGGUGGUGGUGGUGGAGUGUUGGGUCUUGCACGAGGGUAGUGUAAGUCUGUAUUGCCCUCUGUUGUCAUAUUUCCUGGCCUAAGUACUGUGGUAAAGCCUUAUAGAUAAACUGAUGGUGGUGGUGGUGGAGUAGUGGAGUCUUGUGGAAGGGGAGUGGAAGUCUGCAGCGCCCACUGUUGGCACCUCUCCUGGCAUCUUAAAGGUAAAGUAAAGUACUGUGGUAAAGGCUUUUAGAUGGACUGCUUGUGGUGGUGGAGUGGUGGGGUUGGAAGGACAAGGAAAGGAAGGUGGUUUCAUUUAGUUCUCUAUAGGAGUUGGUGUCACGCAGGUUUCCACAAGGACAAGAAAAAGAUGCUGGUGCCCAUUAGGACUCCAGGAAGACAAGGAAAAGAAGUUGGUUUUCUUUAGCUCUACAAAAGAUGACACCAAUCAGGUUUCUAGAACAAGGAAAGGACGCUAUAUUCAUUUUGGUCUCUUCAGAAGCUGGUGUCAUUCAGGUCUCUCGGGCAAAGAAAAUAAAGCUCUUUUUCUUUAGGUCAUCAGAAGCUGGUGUCAUUCAGGUCUCUGGCAAAGAAAAUGAAGCUGUUUUUCUUUAGGUCAUCAGAAGCUGGUGUCAUUCAGGUCUCUGGCAAAGAAAAUAAAGCUGUUUUUCUUUAGGUCUUCAGAAGCUGGUGUCAUUCAGGUCUCUCGGGCAAAGAAAAGGAAGCUGUUUUUCUUUAGGUCUUCAGAAGCUGGUGUCAUUCAGGUCUCUCGGGCAAAGAAAAUGAAGCUGUUUUUCUUUAGGUCUUCAGAAGAUGGUGUCAUUCAGGUCUCUGGCAAAGAAAAUGAAGCUGUUUUUCUUUAGGUCUUCAGAAGAUGGUGUCAUUCAGGUCUCUGGCAAAGAAAAUGAAGCUGUUUUUCUUUAGGUCUUCAGAAGCUGGUGUCAUUCAGGUCUCUCGGGCAAAGAAAAUAAAGCUGUUUUUCUUUAGGUCUGUACAGAAGAUGGUUUCAUUUGGGUCAAGGGCAAGGAAGGGCGUGGUCUUGUCUUGAGGUUUAAUGUGUGUGGGGUUUAAUUCAGGCCUCAGCAAACACAGAGAGGCGGUGUAUACAGUGCCUUGUUGUUCUUGGUGGGGAGACAAAAGUGUUCAGCCUUGCAUCCUGUGGCAUUGUGUUUUGUUUGUUAAUCGGCAAGAACAGUCGGUGUGAUUGCUGUCAAUUUCUCGGCCAAGACGUGGAGGCAGUGUAGUAGUUUUGGUUCCUUGUUAUUUUAGGAAGACAAAAGUGUUCGUCCUUGCAUUAUGUGGGGUUGUGUUUCUUUCAUUUCUCGGCAAAGACAGAGACAGUGUGAGUUUUGUUGUGUUCAUUUCUCGGCCAAGACAUGGAGGCAGUGUAGUAGUUUUGGUUCCUUGUUAUUUUAGGAAGACAAAAGUGUUCGUCCUUGCAUUCUGUGGUGUUGUGUUUCUUUCAUUUCUCGGCAAAGACAGAGACAGUGUGAGUUUUGUUGUGUUCAUUUCUCGGCCAAGGCAUGGAGGCACUGUAGUAGUUUUGGUUCCUUGUUAUUUUAGGAAGGCAAAAGUGUUCGUCCUUGCAUUCUGUGGUGUUGUGUUUCUUUCAUUUCUCGGCAAAGACAGAGACAGUGUGAGUUUUGUUGUGUUCAUUUCUCGGCAAGGACAUGGAGGCAGUGUAAUUUUGUUUGGCGUCAUGUUCUUCGAGGCAACGCUGUGAUUUUUGUUCUUAAAGGCACUUUUUUAUGUUCUCUCGCAAGGGCUGACACACAAGGAGGUUCUCUUCUGCUCUACAUCUUAACUAUUGACAUGAACAGCUUUAACUUAAUUUCUGACUGUCAUAGCUACCCAUUCACCCAUUCAUCCACUCCACAAUCCACUCUCUCUACAGUUACACCCACACAGCCAUUACUUUCUCCAUCAAACUUGCAGCAUCUCUUUGCAAGCAUUGGGUACAUUUUUGAAGGUGUGUGAAAAGAUGGUGAUGACUCCUAGAUAUUUGAUGCUGCAUUGCUGUCUUUGUUGGUGGUUGUCUUUAUUGUUUUGCCUGUUCCUUGGAAAGAUAAAUUUGUACCUGUGUGUGUGUGUGUGUGUGUGUGUGUGUGUGUGUGUGUGUGUGUGUGUGUGUGUGUGUGUGUGUGUGUGUGUGUUUACCUAGUUGUAGUUUUACAGGGCCUGGGCUUACACUCGUGUGGUCCCGUCUCUGUAUCUGUAUUUGUCCAACUUUUCCUUAAAGUUUUGCACACUCUUCGCCGAUACUACAUCCUCACUUAGUCUGUUUCAAACCUCUAUAUUUCUUUGUGUGUGUGUGUGUGUGUGUGUGUAUCUGUGUGUGGAACAGCACUAAUUACUGCCAGACACGUGAUGCUGUAUUGCUGAUCUUAUUGAGGGGCAUCUAUGCUGUGGUGGCUGUUCCUUUGGUUAAAGAAAUGGACUUGGGGAGGUCAUAAUUAUACACAGAACUGAUAACAGACGAAUAACCAAGUGGUGGCACAGGAAUUGAAGGAGUUGUGAGGAACAGAGAACUAAGUGGAGAGGUGGAGUUGGAGCUUUUGCUGGGGCUAGACGGAGUACACUAACAACACCAGACGGAGCGGUGGAGGACAGGCUGCUAGCGGGUGAGGAUUAUGAUGAUGGUGAUGAUUUAGAUGAUUUGUGAGACAGCUUUGUCUAUUUGUCUGGCUGUAGAUCAUUUAAUCAUUGUGGUGGUAAAGUAAUGCAGUCCUAAUGGUUAUCUUCCUUAGCAUGAGGCCCCACGGCUAGAGUUUUAAUAGUAGUGAAGUGGGCAGCAUGAUGAGAGAGGUUUGUUUACUCCCUUGGUUUUGCAGGAGCAGCAGUAUGUUGUGGCCUUGUUGUGUCUACUCUUACCACAACAAAACUUUGUAGCCGUGUAGAGUAAGUUGGAGGAAGGCAGUGCUUGUGCAGUCUUGUGUUUCAGCUGGUUUGUUAGUGCUCAGUUUUUUGGUCCAAGUCAAUCAUGGUCUAUUCCGGUGUUUUUGUUGUGGUGGUGCUCUGUGGGUGCCUCAUCACCUGUUUGGUCAUCCCUUUGGUGCUUGCUGGCAGAGGAAUGGCAGGCAGCAGGUGGAGAGAGGAAAAAGUUGUAGUCGUGUGUGGUUUAUUAGCAGUUGUACAUGCCGGCUCCUCCUAGCUGGCAGCUUCCAGCUGCUGGAUUGCAGGUGGUGGAUGCUGAUCCACCCAUCAACAAAACCCCACACUCUCUUGAUGAGGUCAGAGAGGCUAUUGUAAGGUUGAGGGAAUGAGAAUUAUGGGAUAUUGCUGGAACAGCUUUGUGUCAAACCAAUGAUUUACUCAGUGAAACUGAUUCAAGGCCUGUUACCUGCAUGGUCCGUGAGUGGUAACUCUGGGCAUGUGGCGCACUCCCCAGAAGCCAACCCUGCCCACUGGGUUGUUUCUGUAAGAGACAACCCUGAGUGGAGAAGGCUGAGGGGGAUGCCCACAGAGUUCGUGGCUUGAGCAAGUUGAUGGAUCCCCCCACAAGGUACUUAGGAUGAGAAGGCGGCCGGCAUGGAGACUUGCCUGGAAGAACCCAGUGUUUGGCAUCGUAGGGGAGGGGGUGAGGUGAUGCACCCCCUGGUGUGUGCCCCCAUUGACUGAUUGGUUGUGGGUACCAGAGGAGGAGGAGGAGGUGGAGGCAGUGUUGUAGAGGCUGAUAUCAAUACGUCACUUUAUAUUCAUUGCUGUGGUUGCUGCUUGGUAGCGUGCGCAAAGGCUGGUGAGUGCUUGCAAACUUACCCACCUACUGCUGUGGCCAAGGAAGGCAAGACCUGCCUCUCCCAGCCAUU